UGGGGAAUUUUGGACAAUGGGCGAAGGCCUGAUCCAGCAAUGCCGCGUGUGUGAAGAAGGCCUUCGGGUUGUAAAGCACUUUUGUCCGGAAAGAAAUCCUUGGCUCUAAUACAGUCGGGGGAUGACGGUACCGGAAGAAUAAGCACCGGCUAACUACGUGCCAGCAGCCGCGGUAAUACGUAGGGUGCAAGCGUUAAUCGGAAUUACUGGGCGUAAAGCGUGCGCAGGCGGUUUGCUAAGACCGAUGUGAAAUCCCCGGGCUCAACCUGGGAACUGCAUUGGUGACUGGCAGGCUAGAGUAUGGCAGAGGGGGGUAGAAUUCCACGUGUAGCAGUGAAAUGCGUAGAGAUGUGGAGGAAUACCGAUGGCGAAGGCAGCCCCCUGGGCCAAUACUGACGCUCAUGCACGAAAGCGUGGGGAGCAAACAGGAUUAGAUACCCUGGUAGUCCACGCCCUAAACGAUGUCAACUAGUUGUUGGGGAUUCAUUCCUUAGUAACGUAGCUAACGCGUGAAGUUGACCGCCUGGGGAGUACGGUCGCAAGAUUAAAACUCAAAGGAAUUGACGGGGUCAUA
rnacentral:rRNA from 1 species